GGCAAUAUCAUAUUGAAAACACCAGUUCUUGUAUGAUCAUUGGAGUUAAGCAAUGUUGUGCCUGGUCAGUACUUAGAUUAGUGACUAAUUGUGAAAACCAGGUGCUGUAAG